UACGGAGGGAGCUAGCGUUGUUCGGAAUUACUGGGCGUAAAGCGCGCGUAGGCGGCUUUGUAAGUUAGAGGUGAAAGCCCGGGGCUCAACCCCGGAACUGCCUUUAAGACUGCAUCGCUUGAAUCCAGGAGAGGUGAGUGGAAUUCCGAGUGUAGAGGUGGGAUUCGUAGAUAUUCGGAAGAACACCAGUGGCGAAGGCGGCUCACUGGACUGGUAUUGACGCUGAGGUGCGAAAGCGUGGGGAGCAAACAGG
rnacentral:rRNA from 1 species